rnacentral:rRNA from 1 species
CCUACGGGAGGCAGCAGUGGGGAAUAUUGCACAAUGGGCGCAAGCCUGACGCAGCGACGCCGCGUGAGGGAUGAAGGUCUUCGGGUCGUAAAGCUCUUUCAGCGGGGAGGAACGGUCAAUGUGCUAAUACGCUGUGAAUUGACGGUACCUGCAGAAGAAGCACCGGCUAACUCCGUGCCAGCAGCCGCGGUAAUACGGAGGGUGCGAGCGUUAAUCGGAAUUACUGGGCGUAAAGCGCACGUAGGCGGUAGAUCAAGUCAGGUGUGAAAUCCCCGAGCUUAACCCGGGAACUGCCUCUGAUACUGGUCAACUGGAGUGUUGGAGAGGAUAGUGGAAUUCCAGGUGUAGGAGUGAAAUGCGUAGAGAUGUGGAGGAAUACCAGUGGCGAAGGCGACCACCUGGACAAUAACUGACGCUGAGGUGCGAAAGCGUGGGGAGCAAACAGGAUUAGAUACCCCAGUAGUC